GCCGUUGUAGUUCAGUUAACGCACUGGAUUGUGGCUCCAGCAUUCGUGGGUUCAAGUCCCAUCGAUCGCC
rnacentral:tRNA from 1 species